rnacentral:lncRNA from 1 species
UGACGGACUUAGUUGGAUUCGGAUUUUGUCCUUCAAAGGUGGUGAAAGGCGUGAGAUGCGGACGGAGAGGUUAGCAAAGGAAGGCGCCAGGUAUUUUGUGGGUUUUGGUCCGCCCUAGCUACCGGCCUGUACGGAUGCAGGGGGCCCCCGCCCUUUUUCCGACUUCGAGGAAGCGGACACAGCUUUUUGGGGAUGUCUGUCUGGUCUCUGUGUUGUGUGUGUGUUUGAGAUAUUCGGGGGCCUUGGCUGUCGGAUGCCCGGGGUUUGAAAUUUCGAAUUUGAAUUGUGGUGUUGGUUUGAAUUCGGUCGCACGCAUAAUUCCUUCUGAUGUAAAAGGAUGCGGCCCUCUUUUGCACUGAAUUGUAUGUAUGUAUCUAUCUAUCACCUGUGUACGAACUCGCGCUUUUUAAUUGACUCUUUGGGGCGUGAGUUGCGCAUAUGAGUGAGUAGAGAGUGGUGAGACAAUCCGUCAACACAUAAAUCGGGUCGCGGGCGAUGCCCGGGCUUUUCCCGCACACCAUGUUGCGAGAGUCUCCAGCAGGGGUAUGAGUCGGCGUGUAUACGGUUGUGCUUUGACCUGGCUACGGUCCACAACAACUGCGUGUAGAUGCGGGGCAACGCUCGGUGAUUUUCAUUUAUUGCUGUUAAGGGCACAAGGGUCAAAAAGGCAGUUGGGGAACACGAAGGGGAAAAGUUGAACGUUGUGCUGUUUAGGUAGUAGUAGUAGUCCUCCAGGGCCCCCCUUUAACCUUCAUAACACGCCCGCGGGAAACCACUGGAGACGUCCUGAAAACUGAGAUACAUACAUACAUACAUACAUACAUACAUACAUACAUACAUACAUACAUACAUACAUACAUACAUACGUACGUAUCUCCAUGUUCUUCAACUUCUGGUCGCACCCUUCGAUUAAUGUCCACCGUCAUCGCCUGAUUGAGGCGGCCAGGGCGAUGGGGGCCGCCGAGGGCUCCACCAACAGCCCCUCCGCCACUACACUACCUCCCUCCACGAUCUCUCACCUCGACAAAGUGUGUAUGUAGCUUCACCAGCGGCCCCCUUUCCCUUGGAGGCAGUUCCCUGCUCUCCCCUGCGAGAGGGGCACCCUAAUCCAUUCACCCCAUCCGACUUCAGAAUGUAUUCGUGUGUAUAUAUACACGCAUUGUAUAUUACAUACACACACAUAAAUAUAUAUAUAUAUAUUGUAUAUUAGCUGUUUUCUUCUGUGGCUGUGGCUGCAUAGGUAGUUGUGUAGCUGCUGCCGCGGCAUGCGACCACUACCACCUCUGUGUGUGUGCGCGUGUGUGUGUGUACAAAUAGGGAGAUCCCAAGCAACCACCACACUGGAAGGCUGCUCCUUCUUCUCGCUCCCCUAAUAAUCCAUCCGCCGCCCAACACGACCGCCAUCGGCAAACUGGAGGCGAAAGCCCUCCCUUGUAGCCCUCCCGCACCACCACCACCACCAUCCCGCGAAGCAUUUCAUUUCGGUUUGGUCGGGGUGACGGUUUGACUACUUCUAGACGGUUGGUCGGUUUCCCGCCGGGGCGGGGUCUUUCCCAACAGCAGCGCCAGGGGAGGAGGUGGUCUUGCUGCCCUAGCUCCUCGAUAAGGAGAACUCACUCGCACACACACACAGACAGACACACACGCAGACACACGCGCACACAUUGGCUUUCGGGAGCCCUACAGGAUUUAAAAAGGGCCAGGCGGAUGACCUCCGAGGAAAUCCGUCUGUCCGCAAGUGGUUCCAUCCAUCAUCCGCGGGCGGGGGCCCGCCCAGGGUGAGGGUGAGGGUGAGACAACUCACACAGAAAGGGCGCAAGUCUACCGCCGGCACCUCUCCUCCCUCCUUCAUCACACGCACACACACAGAUGCCGUCAGGCCUUCCGUCCAACAAGAAGUGUCUACCCUGCACCUCAUGAACAGCAUCACCACCACCACCACCACCACCACCACCACUAACAAAACCGGCGCAAGGCCGCAAAAUCCCUAGAGAGAAUCCCCAUCCAUCUCCACUCCACUGAAUCCAGUUCCAACCAGCCGGUUGAAUUCCCAACCGUCGUGCUAACUAACUAGCCAUCUGGCUGUCUAGACUCUGUACCGGGCUCCCCGCAUCACCCAUCGAAGUCCGAGCGCCAGUACUGCGAUGUGCCGGGGUACAUGAUGUCUGCGUUUGGUGGAAAAAAGGGGGGAAGGGGGAGAGGUGGGAAAGAGAGAACGGGGAGGGAAAGACGAACCACGAACGAGCAACCAGGUGAUGCCAAGGAUAUGCAGACUGAUACGCCAGAAGAAAGGGUAUAUGCGUGAAAUCGAAGAGGUGCAGCUGGGUUAUGGAGAGGAGAGGUGGUCCAAACCCCGGGGCUUGGCAGUUGCGUGUUGUGAGCUGGACACACGCAAAUGCUGAUGGUGGUAACGGUAACGGUAACAGUAGCGCUAACGGUAAUAACGAAAAAUACCCCUACAAUCCCAAAGGCCGGCUCUACACAUCACUGGCCGGCUCUGCUUCGCAUCGUCGCCAUGCACAUGCAAAACAAUGUGUUUCAGUGUAAUGCAAACAACCUCUUCGGGGGAUGGUGGUCUUGAUAACCAAAAAGGCAACAGGCCCCCAGGCCGCCAGGGCGCCCUUCAGGUUCCAGCUGCGCCGUGCGGCAGCGUCGUGUCCCUCCGAAACCACCACGAGCCCCCCCCUCCUUCCCACGCACCCGCUAGCCCAACGAAGCACCCGCGCGAGACGCUCAUGUCGUGACGUUUCAGGACACAGCUGGUGUGGUGUUGGUGUUGGGGUUGCUGCCACUUCCUGCCCCCUCCUCUCUCCCCUCCCCCUCCUCCCUCUCCUCCCUCUCCUCUCUCUCCUCCUCCCUCCCUCCCCUCCCUUUCCCCCUCCCCUCCCUUUCCCCCUCUCCUCCCUUUCCCCCUCCCCUCCCCCUCCUCCCUCUCCUCUCUCUCCUCCUCCCUCCCUCCCCUCCCUUUCCCCCUCCCCUCCCUUUCCCCCUCCCCUCCCUUUCCCCCUCCCCUCCCUUUCCCCCUCCCCUCCCUUUCCCCCUCCCCUCCCUUUCCCCCUCCCCUCCCUUUCCCCCUCCCCUCCCUUUCCCCCUCCCCUCCCCCUCCUCCCUCUCCUCUCUCUCCUCCUCCCUCCCUCCCCUCCCUUUCCCCCUCCCCUCCCCUCACUGGUCGGCAAUCAUCGGCUCAAGUCGCUCUACUCAGAGUUUAAUUAUAGUCCAUAGUCCUCGUUACGUCGUCGUUACCUCAUCCUCUUCUUCGGCAUCGUCUUCGUCUUCGUUACCAUGGCCCUCGUCCCUUCGGUUUCCGCGUCCACCGACCUCAGCCAGCGCGAGCCCUCCCGUUCGCAGUCCGGAGACGCCGCAGACUACGCCGGACGCCGCGCGAAACCCUUCGCACUACUGGACCACCCCCCCCCGCCCCCCUCACCAUCACCGCACCCUUCCGCCCCACCACCUCGAACCCCACUCGAACCGCCGCCGCUUCCCCCGACCUCACUAAACUGGCAAAGGGGUAUUGAAAUGAGCAUUGAGGAAGAAAGCACGUGUGUAUGACGUCAAGGUGCUCGCAAGACGCUCCUUCUUGUUCUUGUUCUUGUUCUUGUUCUCUUUGUGGUGGUGAUGCGGACGGUGUGAAUGGUUACACUGCCCUGGGCCACCGACGUUGCUGGUCCUGCCGACCUCGCGCAGGCUGCCGCUUCUACGCCCGUGCUGGAGCCGUGAUCGACAAGCAAGGACAAGGUGCGUGGCUGUGUCCUUACACAUGAGUCUGGGGAAAUUUAAGUUAGAUUUCGAAAAUGCCACGAAUCCAACCUUGACAAGAUUCCGCGAAAACUGCCUUGAAAAUUGCUGCUUAUUUGUUUAUGCGCUUAUGCGCGUCCAGUCCGCCAGUCCUCGCCUAGUGUUACACUUCUCACCUACCCCACCUACCCCACCCGAACCGCAUCCGCACGUCCAAGCUUUCACCCGACAUGUCGUGGUGCAGGUGCUGAAGUGGCUGAGUGACCACGCAGCAGCGUGUGGCGCCAACGACACGCCCUGGGAGCAGCAGACCAACGUGGGUGACUCGGGGGCCCCCACAGCUGCGGCGGCAGCAGCUUCAGCCGCUCAGAGGCAGUUGCUGUGGGAGGUGCUGCGGCUGCUGGUGAAGCACUCGGAGGCCGGAAAAACGAAGCAGGCCAGAGGGUGGCUUAUGGGGCAGGUAAGGGGGGACAGACGGCGAGUGCGCGUUCAGGGGAAGGAGGUGGGGCCGGGAGGUCAACAGUCACGGUGGCAGUCACCUUGGAUGUGGCGGCUGGUGUGCGGAGCGGUGGCGCUUCUGUCUGUCCCAGCUAUCGAUGUGUGCUGCAGUUGACUACUAAUCAAUUUCUGCUGCUACUACUGCUACUACUGCUACUACUGCUACUACUGCUAAUGCUGUUUGGCUUUAUUCACUGGCUAAUCUUCCCUCACAAAACAUGUCCUUUCAUGUUGCCAUGUCCUCAAAUGGAGCCGCCUUACAUUUUAUUAUGGGUUUGAUGGGUCUACACAUCUACCCACCCUCUUGUGGCCCCGCCCCUCAGAGCAAAGAGGACCAGUCCGUGGAAUCUGACUUGCUGAAGCUGCUGCUGGAGCGGCGAAAUGCCCCGUUAAGAAAUGCCCAUAAACCUUAACGACCUUUUUCUAUUAAAUUCAUAGCCAAAAAGCUGUGAUGAACUUCCCUGCUUGAAUCAACCCAACCUGUACUCGGCCUAUGCGCAGUGACGCGCACAGCCUGCGACGCAUGGCUGAGGAAGCCAAGUUGGCCGACNNNNNNNNNNNNNNNNNNNNNNNNNNNNNNNNNNNNNNNNNNNNNNNNNNUAUCUUCAUAAUAUGUGUGUAUGUAUAUGUGUGUGUGUGUGUGUGUUUUGGAGGGGGGGGAGUGGAGGAGGGUUACAGUCUGCAGCGGAGCGUGUGGACUUAGGUGACAACUUAAAAGGCGUUCGUUAGAUAUUCUUUCCAACCGCGCCAACCAACAACCGCCAACCACCAUCCAUAAUCACCAAACGUUUCCGGCAAACAUGGUUCGAGGCAAUCGGGGCGCUUCUGAGCUGCUGUUGCACCCGUUCCUGCAGCUGUUGUGACGGACUUAGUUGGAUUCGGAUUUUGUCCUUCAAAGGUGGUGAAAGGCGUGAGAUGCGGACGGAGAGGUUAGCAAAGGAAGGCGCCAGGUAUUUUGUGGGUUUUGGUCCGCCCUAGCUACCGGCCUGUACGGAUGCAGGGGGCCCCCGCCCUUUUUCCGACCUCGAGGAAGCGGACACAGCUUUUUGGGGAUGUCUGUCUGGUCUGUGUUGUGUGUGUGUUUGAGAUAUUCGGGGGCCUUGGCUGUCGGAUGCCCGGGGUUUGAAAUUUCGAAUUUGAAUUGUGGUGUUGGUUUGAAUUCGGUCGCACGCAUAAUUCCUUCUGAUGUAAAAGGAUGCGGCCCUCUUUUGCACUGAAUUGUAUGUAUGUUGUUACAGGGUGGUUAACUUCGCCAGCGGCCCCCUUUCCCGGGGCAGUCCCUGCUCUCCCCUGCUAGAGGGGCACCCUAAUCCGUCACCCCAUCCGACUUCAGAAUGUAUUCGUUGGGUUCGGCAACUCACCACCAGCAUCCAACCAAAUCUAGCGGAUCAACGGCGCAUCAACUUAGUUCCUGGUCAGCUCGCAAGUUGAUAUUAUCACGUCCUACACCGUCCAUAUGAUGGGGGGCCACCUCCCAUUUCAUCACUCCUCAAACACCCGAGGAGCCGGCAGGCGGAUUUGAACCCGGGUCGACUGGGUCGACUGGGAGCAGAAGUCAGGCCUUAACCUCUGCCAGCCGCCUGCCAUGUAUGUAUGUAUCUAUCACCUGUGUACGAACUCGCGCUUUUUAAUUGAGUCUUUGGGGCGUGAGUUGCGCAUAUGAGUGAGUAGAGAGUGGUGAGUACGUGAGACAAUCCGUCAACACAUAAAUCGGGUCGCGGGCGAUGCCCGGGCUUUUCCCGCACACCAUGUUGCGAGAGUCUCCAGCAGGGGUAUGAGUCGGCGUGUAUACGGUUGUGCUUUGACCUGGCUACGGUCCACAACAACUGCGUGUAGAUGCGGGGCAACGCUCGGUGAUUUUCAUUUAUUGCUGUUAAGGGCACAAGGGUCAAAAAGGCAGUUGGGGAACACGAAGGGGAAAAGUUGAACGUUGUGCUGUUUAGGUAGUAGUAGUAGUCCUCCAGGGCCCCCCUUUAACCUUCAUAACACGCCCGCGGGAAACCACUGGAGACGUCCUGAAAACUGAGAAACAUACAUACAUACAUACAUACGUACGUAUCUUCAUGUUCUUCAACUUCUGGUCGCACCCUUCGAUUAAUGUCCACCGUCAUCGCCUGAUUGAGGCGGCCAGGGCGAGGGGGCCCCGAGGGCUCCACCAACAGCCCCUCCGCCACUACACUACCUCCCUCCACGAUCUCUCACCUCGACAAAGUGUGUAUGUAGCUUCACCAGCGGCCCCCUUUCCCUUGGAGGCAGUUCCCUGCUCUCCCCUGCGAGAGGGGCACCCUAAUGCAUUCACCCC